GCGUCCGGACUGACAGGGGCAGGGGUGGUGGGAAUCUGUGAAAGCCACGUGGGGCAGCGCGGCCCAGUAAGCAGAGGAGAAAAAUGAGGAGAGUGCGAUCCUCUGAGAAUAAUAAGCCACGUGGGGACAUCUCCUGUAUCACAGGCUACUGAAGUGCAAGGAAAAUGAGGACUGACAAAGGAUCUGGAUUUAGCAAUGUGGGAAACUGGCUUUCUGAUUUUUGGUGAAGUUGUGAGAAGAGGAAGAGUAUGUAAAGGAAAUUUUACCCAAAAGGCAGAGGAACUGAAUACUGCUAAGAGAAUUGUAAAAAAUUUACGUGUUUAUUUCUUACUGUAUUUGAAGGCAGAGAGACAGAUCUCCCACCCUUUGGCUCAUUCCCUGAAUCCCUUCAACAGCCAGGGCUGGGCCAGGCUGAAGCCAGGAGCCCAGCAUUCCACCCUAGUCUCCCAUGGGGGUGGCAGGGACUCAAGUACUUGAGCCAUCUGCCACCUCCCAGGGUGCACUUAGGAAGCUGGAGUGAAAGAGGAGCUGGGACUCAAACCAGGAACUUGAUAUAGAAUGCAGGCGGUCCUAGAUGUUUCUUAACCACUGGGACAAACGCCUGCCACAGAAUUUUAUUUUUUAAGGUUCGGCUCAUUCAUAGCAUGCAUGUGUAUGAAUGAGGGGUGACAGGGCAGAGGGAGAACACUACAGGGGAGCCGAGACUUCUGGGUUCUGGUAGGAUGGCACGAGGAAGCCAGAUUCUCUCUCUACAAAACUAUGAAAAGCAGUCGCUUUGGUGUUUUGGAUUACCGACCACAAGUCCUACAACAAUCGGAGAGGCAUUUACCGGUGCGAGGCACUGCCUCUGGGUCAGCACAGUGCUAGCCGCUGACUUUCUGGCCCAGGCUUGCUCCUGUCUCCCCCACUCUAGUUUGGAGGAUCUAGUUCAGCCAGGCUGGCAAAGCUGCUGACUUACUGUGUUACGAUCUUCCUACAAGCAAAGUCCGGGCCCCGGUGGCGUCAAUGUGCGAUUUCUAGCAAAUAUUUAAAUCAGAAAUUGCUCCAAGCCUUCACAAACUUCCAUUUACUGCCUCCCACGUACAGUCACUCUGGAAGACAGUUUGGCAGUGUUUUAUGAAUUAAAAACUUACCGCCCAGCCCAGAACUCACACAACUAGGAACUUCUGUAAAUAGACUGAAAACUUACAUCCACAGGGAAAUACCCACGCAAAUGUUUACGGCACGUUUAUUUACGAUCGCCAAACGCUGGAAGCGACUGAGAUGCCCUUCAAUAUGCGAAUGGAUCAACAGCUGUGCUACACCCAUAAAAUGAAACACUAUCCAGAGAUUUUAAAAAACAAAACAAGCCGUUGACUCAUGCUGCAGGGAUGAGAGUUAAAGCAUUUGGUGAGUGAAAGAAGCCAGAUCCUAAAAGUUACAUAUUAUGUGAUUCCAAAAUUCCCGACAUUCUGGAAGAGGCAGGACUGCAGGGAAGGAAACAGAUGAGCGGUUGCUGGGGCUGGGGAGGGAGCUGUUUCUACAAACCAGAUGCACAGCGGAACUUUAGGGCACAGAACGGUUCUGCCCAGCACCACUCAGGAAGUCACUGAUUUACCUGGAAAUGGGUACUGAGGGGCCAGGGUCACCAAGGAGAAUGCUGGUAAACAUGCCUCUGACCUGAGGAUCACAGCCACUCUCCCAAGCGGGAGUCAUGGCUGCACCUGCGCCAUAAGAUGUGACGAGUGGCACUCUGCCUCUGUGACGUUUCUCUCUAGAACCCAUGACUGCACGCUAACCAAGACAAGAACGCUGGGAAACCCGAGCUGAGAGACAGUCUACGUAAUACCUGACCAGCAUUCCUCAAAACUGGCAAAGUCUCAGAAAACAAGGAACGAUUCAAAGACCAUCAGAGAGCAGAGAAGCCACAUAAAUGCAGUGUGGUGUCCCGAGGCCAAUAGCAGGACUUUACCGGAAAAGCUAGAGAUCUGAAGGGGGUCUGCAGUUACCAGUGAUGUGUCUGUGUUGGUUUCUCCUAUUUGACAAACGUUACUUCAGUAAUGUAAGACGUCAACAUGAGAGAUGGGGAUUUGGCACAAUGGUGAAGACACUGUUGGGAUGACCCCAUCUCACAUCUGAAUGCCUCGGGUCAAGUCCUGGCUCUUCUCUCCAUUCCAGCUCCCUGCUGAUGCACACCAGGAUUCAGUUCCAUCCAGGCUCCUGGCUUUAGCCUGGAUCACACACACAGCUGUUGCAGUCAUCUGGGGAGUGAACCAGCAUAUGGGGGGGUCUCUAUCACUAACUCUCUCCGCCUUUCAAGUAAGUAAGAUAAAUAAGUUUUUAAAAUGUUUAAGGGGCUUGCACUGUGGUGCACUUGUGAUGCUGGCAUCCCACAUCAGAGUGCUUGUUUAAGUCUCGGCUGCUCCACUUCCAAACCAGCUCCCUGAUGUGCCUGAGAAGGCAGUGGUAUGUGGCCUGAGGACUUGGGUCCCUGUUACCCAUAUGGGAGACUCAGAUGAAGCCCCUGGCCCAGCCCUGGCUCUUGCAGCCAUUUGGGGAGUCAACCAGUGGAUGGAAUGUCACACUUUUUCUGUCACUUUGCCUUUCAAAAUUAAAUCUUUAUUUUGUUUUUCAAAAUAAAGAAAUCUUUUUUUAAAAAAAGCAAGCUCAUUCAUAUUCUUUCAUGCAGAAAUAAGCCCUAUGAACUCCACCCAGGAUGAAAACAAUGUUUCAGAAUCAACAUGUCAAUAUCACAUAUUUAAAAAAAUCAUUUAGUUAUUUGAGAGGCAGAGCCACAGACAGAGAGAGGUCUUUCAUACACUGGUUCAUUCCCCAAACACCCACUACAACCGGAGCUGGGCAGAUCUGAAGCCAGGAGCCAGGAGUCUCUCCCAGGUCUCCCACACAAGUGCAGGGCCCAAGGACUUGGGCCAUCUUCCGCUGUUUUCCCAGGCAAUAAGCAGAGAGCUGGAUUGGAAGAGGAGCAGCUGGGACAUGAACCAACGCCCAUGUGGUAUGCUUGCACUGCAGGUGGAGGCUUAGCCUACUAAACCAAGCGCAGGUCCCUGAUGAAAACAUCUUAAUUAUAUUAUGUGGAAUACAGACUGUUACAUUUACUAGUUCUGGCAGGUAGAUAGGCAGUACUGCUUUUAUUGACUUUUUUUAAAUUGAAAAGUAUACUUUGGGUGGACGUUUGACACAGAGGUUAAGAUGCUACUUUGCUGUUUUUCUUUAAGAUUUAUUUAUUUGAAAGGCAGAGCUACAGAGGGAGAGAUAUCUUCAAUCCAAUGCUGGUUUACUCCCCAAAUGGCCACAACGACCAGGGCUGUGCCAGGCUGACGGCAAGAGUCUCAAACUCCAUCUAGAAAACUCAUGCAAUAGAUGAUGCCAUUAAAAACGAAGGGACAUGGAGUACAGAUGCAUAAAGCCAACAGCCUGUUGAACAGGAGUCCAAGAACAUGAGGACGCCAAAAAUAAUCCAAGGAGUGGCACAAACUUCUCCCACGCUGAAGAAUGGUCUUCAAACACACAGGCGCGCCACGGCUGGCCGAGAGGCUCAUCCUCACAGAACCUCUAACACCAACGGUAAGAAAAUCUUCUGGGGCCAGCACUGCGGUGUGGCCUGGUGGGUAAAGCAGCCACCUGCUGUGCCCGCAUCCCAUAUGGACACAAGUUCGAGUCCCGGCUGCUCCACUUCCGAUCCAGCUCCCUGCUAAUGGUCUGGGAAAGCAGUAGAAGAUGGCCUGAGUAUUUGGGCCCCUGCACCCACAUGGGAGACCCAGAUGAAGCACGUGGCUCCUGGCUCUGGCCUGGCCCAGCCCUGGCCAUUGCUGUUACUGGAGAGUGAAGGAGUGGAUGGAAGAACUCUUUCUCUCCCCCUCUCCCUCUACAAUCGAUUUUCAAAUAAAUCUUACAAAAAAAAAAUCUAAGCCUCUAGUGACAAUCACUAUUUACAAUGAUAGAUCUUUUCACUUUGAAAAAGAUUUUAUUUCCUGAAAAGCAGAGUGACAAAGAGAGGGUGGGACAGAGAGCUGGUCCCUCUACUGGUUCACUCCUCAAAAUGGCUGCAACAGCCAGAGCUGGGCCAGACAAAGCCAGGAGCUCCAUCUGUGUCUCCCACAAGGGUGGCAGCAAUCCAAGUACUUGAGUCGUCAUCUGCUGCCCCCCAGGCUCAUCAGCAGGAAGCUGGCUAAGUGCACAGCAGCCGGAACUCCAACGGGCACCCUGAUCUGGGAUGUGGGCGUUCCCAGCAGCAGCUCAAUACUCACCCAGCAAAUGAUCUUUAUCGUGGGCAUGUGUCACCUCUGUGAUUAUUUAAAAUCUAACUAGAAACAGCAAGUCACAAAAGUUGUUUGCAGCACAUGAUUCAGAAUUAUCUCCCAAUAAGACCUCUGGAAGAGCAAUUUCAGAAAUAACGUCCCAAGGGAUGGAUCUGACCUAAAGAUGUCUGCUCAACGACAGCUAACAUUCGGGAUAGCUAAGACACAAAAAAAGGAAACAGAAAAUACCGUAUCCAGGGUAUGAGCAACACCCGUCCUGCACUGGACAGGGGCUGAGUCGUCGCAAACAGCCCCACACGUACUGGAAGCUCAAGUUGGAGGGAUGGAGGGGAGAGGAAGGCAGCAGCAGAGGCGGCCCCAGGAACCUGCAGAGAUUCUGCGCAACCAUCCCUCUGUGAUUCUGGCUGCCUUCUCACUUUAAAAGCACUUUACUCUUUUCUGAAGAUGGAAUAAAAGUAGCUUUCUGCAUGCUCCACAUUCCAUCGGCAGUCUCUCACUCUCGGAGGUGCAAGAACAGACACAUCAGGAUGACACGCAAGGCAGGCUUCCGGCCCCGUGUUGUCGGUAAGCAGCUGUCACGCAUGCUCUAUGUCACACAGAUACCAACAUUCAGAAGCCCUCGGGGUGGGGGGGCAGGCAUUUGGGGAAAAAAAAAAAUGUGUAGGGGCACUCGAAUCCGAUGGCCUCAUCUUCCUUAGCUUCUCUCCCCUGGCCCUUGUGCCCACACCCCCCGCCUCCAGAAGCUAUGGUAACUGCACACGCCAAGCGUUGUGUUCCCACGGCUAAGGCUUUCCCCUGUGGUCUUCUACGGCAGGAACACUGAUCUCCCCGGAUCCACCAAGAGCGAUAAAUUCAAAAUAUCUCACCUGCUUUCCAGGAAAGUCCACAUGGGUUUCCUGUAAGCCCAGACACCUGUGCCUAACCCGCCUACAAAUUUCUAACUGCAUAAAGAAGUAAAGUAACCACCAGAUAAGUGGCCAUCAAGGCUGUGUGACUUCUGAUUUGUCAGGGAUGACUCCCAGUAGCAGAGAUGCUGGGAGUCUCGCUCCUACUCCUCCUCCCAAGAAACCAGAAGACAACCACCCCACUUCUUUCAGGAGACAUCAGAAAUAGCUGUUAUUAACACAGGCACCUGUACAACUGCAUAGAUACGCUUCCACUGCAGUGUAAAUCUCAAGGAAUUUGCAUACAUACCCCAAUUCCUCCCUUUCUUCUUUCAAAAAGACUUAUUUAUUUGAGAGGCAGAGAGUUCACUCCUUAAAUGGCUGAUCCAAAGCCAGGAGCUAGGAGCCUCCUCUGGGCUUCCCACCUGUGCCAGGGGCCCAAGCAUUUGGGCCAUGCUCAGGUGCACUAGCAGGGAGCUGGAUCGGAAGUGCAGCAGCUGGGACUUGAACUGGCACCCAUAUGGGAUGCUGGCACCACAGGCAGAGGCUUAACCUACUAUGCCACAGUGUGGGCCCCAUCCCCUUUCUUAAAACCUGCUUUGGUUCUCUGGCCAUUGCAGCCAUCUCGGGAGUGAAUCAGCAGAUGGAAGACCUCUCUCUCUGCCUCUC